rnacentral:rRNA from 1 species
UACGUAGGGGGCAAGCGUUGUCCGGAUUUAUUGGGCGUAAAGAGCGUGUAGGCGGCCUGACAGGUCUGCUGUGAAAACUCGAGGCUCAACCUCGAGACGUCGAUGGAAACCAUCUAGCUAGAGUCCGGAAGAGGAGAGUGGAAUUCCUGGUGUAGCGGUGAAAUGCGCAGAUAUCAGGAAGAACACCCGUGGCGAAGGCGGCUCUCUGGUACGUGACUGACGCUGAGACGCGAAAGCGUGGGGAGCGAACAGG